rnacentral:misc_RNA from 1 species
UGUGGGAGCUGGCUUGCCUGCGAUAACGGUGUGUCAGGCAAUGAAUCUGUCAUUGAUAGACCGCUAUCGCAGGCAAGCCAGCUCCCACA